rnacentral:tRNA from 1 species
AGCCUUGUAGCUCGUGCGCUGUGCAAAAGCGUAGGUGGCGUCCAUGCGUGGGUUCGAAUCCCACCGAGGCUA